GACGAACGCUGGCGGCGUGCUUAACACAUGCAAGUCGAACGGAAAGGCCCUGCUUUUGUGGGGUGCUCGAGUGGCGAACGGGUGAGUAACACGUGAGUAACCUGCCCUUGACUUUGGGAUAACUUCAGGAAACUGGGGCUAAUACCGGAUAGGAGCUCCUGCUGCAUGGUGGGGGUUGGAAAGUUUCGGCGGUUGGGGAUGUACUCGCGGCUUAUCAGCUUGUUGGUGGGGUAGUUGCUUACCAAGGCUUUGACGGGUAGCCGGCCUGAGAGGGUGACCGGCCACAUUGGGACUGAGAUACGGCCCAGACUCCUACGGGAGGCAGCAGUGGGGAAUAUUGCACAAUGGGCGGAAGCCUGAUGCAGCAACGCCGCGUGCGGGAUGACGGCCUUCGGGUUGUAAACCGCUUUCGCCUGUGACGAAGCGUGAGUGACGGUAAUGGGUAAAGAAGCACCGGCUAACUACGUG
rnacentral:rRNA from 1 species